rnacentral:rRNA from 6 species
UUAAGCGACUAAGCGUACACGGUGGAUGCCCUGGCAGUCAGAGGCGAUGAAGGACGUGCUAAUCUGCGAUAAGCGUCGGUAAGGUGAUAUGAACCGUUAUAACCGGCGAUUUCCGAAUGGGGAAACCCAGUGUGUUUCGACACACUAUCAUUAACUGAAUCCAUAGGUUAAUGAGGCGAACCGGGGGAACUGAAACAUCUAAGUACCCCGAGGAAAAGAAAUCAACCGAGAUUCCCCCAGUAGCGGCGAGCGAACGGGGAGGAGCCCAGAGCCUGAAUCAGUGUGUGUGUUAGUGGAAGCGUCUGGAAAGGCGUGCGAUACAGGGUGACAGCCCCGUACACAAAAAUGCACAUAUUGUGAGCUCGAUGAGUAGGGCGGGACACGUGGUAUCCUGUCUGAAUAUGGGGGGACCAUCCUCCAAGGCUAAAUACUCCUGACUGACCGAUAGUGAACCAGUACCGUGAGGGAAAGGCGAAAAGAACCCCGGCGAGGGGAGUGAAAAAGAACCUGAAACCGUGUACGUACAAGCAGUGGGAGCCUCUUUAUGGGGUGACUGCGUACCUUUUGUAUAAUGGGUCAGCGACUUAUAUUCUGUAGCAAGGUUAACCGAAUAGGGGAGCCGAAGGGAAACCGAGUCUUAACUGGGCGUUAAGUUGCAGGGUAUAGACCCGAAACCCGGUGAUCUAGCCAUGGGCAGGUUGAAGGUUGGGUAACACUAACUGGAGGACCGAACCGACUAAUGUUGAAAAAUUAGCGGAUGACUUGUGGCUGGGGGUGAAAGGCCAAUCAAACCGGGAGAUAGCUGGUUCUCCCCGAAAGCUAUUUAGGUAGCGCCUCGUGAAUUCAUCUCCGGGGGUAGAGCACUGUUUCGGCAAGGGGGUCAUCCCGACUUACCAACCCGAUGCAAACUGCGAAUACCGGAGAAUGUUAUCACGGGAGACACACGGCGGGUGCUAACGUCCGUCGUGAAGAGGGAAACAACCCAGACCGCCAGCUAAGGUCCCAAAGUCAUGGUUAAGUGGGAAACGAUGUGGGAAGGCCCAGACAGCCAGGAUGUUGGCUUAGAAGCAGCCAUCAUUUAAAGAAAGCGUAAUAGCUCACUGGUCGAGUCGGCCUGCGCGGAAGAUGUAACGGGGCUAAACCAUGCACCGAAGCUGCGGCAGCGACACUAUGUGUUGUUGGGUAGGGGAGCGUUCUGUAAGCCUGUGAAGGUGGCCUGUGAGGGUUGCUGGAGGUAUCAGAAGUGCGAAUGCUGACAUAAGUAACGAUAAAGCGGGUGAAAAGCCCGCUCGCCGGAAGACCAAGGGUUCCUGUCCAACGUUAAUCGGGGCAGGGUGAGUCGACCCCUAAGGCGAGGCCGAAAGGCGUAGUCGAUGGGAAACAGGUUAAUAUUCCUGUACUUGGUGUUACUGCGAAGGGGGGACGGAGAAGGCUAUGUUGGCCGGGCGACGGUUGUCCCGGUUUAAGCGUGUAGGCUGGUUUUCCAGGCAAAUCCGGAAAACCAAGGCUGAGGCGUGAUGACGAGGCACUACGGUGCUGAAGCGACAAAUGCCCUGCUUCCAGGAAAAGCCUCUAAGCAUCAGGUAACAUCAAAUCGUACCCCAAACCGACACAGGUGGUCAGGUAGAGAAUACCAAGGCGCUUGAGAGAACUCGGGUGAAGGAACUAGGCAAAAUGGUGCCGUAACUUCGGGAGAAGGCACGCUGAUAUGUAGGUGAAGCGACUUGCUCGUGGAGCUGAAAUCAGUCGAAGAUACCAGCUGGCUGCAACUGUUUAUUAAAAACACAGCACUGUGCAAACACGAAAGUGGACGUAUACGGUGUGACGCCUGCCCGGUGCCGGAAGGUUAAUUGAUGGGGUUAGCGGUAACGCGAAGCUCUUGAUCGAAGCCCCGGUAAACGGCGGCCGUAACUAUAACGGUCCUAAGGUAGCGAAAUUCCUUGUCGGGUAAGUUCCGACCUGCACGAAUGGCGUAAUGAUGGCCAGGCUGUCUCCACCCGAGACUCAGUGAAAUUGAACUCGCUGUGAAGAUGCAGUGUACCCGCGGCAAGACGGAAAGACCCCGUGAACCUUUACUAUAGCUUGACACUGAACAUUGAGCCUUGAUGUGUAGGAUAGGUGGGAGGCUUUGAAGUGUGGACGCCAGUCUGCAUGGAGCCGACCUUGAAAUACCACCCUUUAAUGUUUGAUGUUCUAACGUUGGCCCGUAAUCCGGGUUGCGGACAGUGUCUGGUGGGUAGUUUGACUGGGGCGGUCUCCUCCUAAAGAGUAACGGAGGAGCACGAAGGUUGGCUAAUCCUGGUCGGACAUCAGGAGGUUAGUGCAAUGGCAUAAGCCAGCUUGACUGCGAGCGUGACGGCGCGAGCAGGUGCGAAAGCAGGUCAUAGUGAUCCGGUGGUUCUGAAUGGAAGGGCCAUCGCUCAACGGAUAAAAGGUACUCCGGGGAUAACAGGCUGAUACCGCCCAAGAGUUCAUAUCGACGGCGGUGUUUGGCACCUCGAUGUCGGCUCAUCACAUCCUGGGGCUGAAGUAGGUCCCAAGGGUAUGGCUGUUCGCCAUUUAAAGUGGUACGCGAGCUGGGUUUAGAACGUCGUGAGACAGUUCGGUCCCUAUCUGCCGUGGGCGCUGGAGAACUGAGGGGGGCUGCUCCUAGUACGAGAGGACCGGAGUGGACGCAUCACUGGUGUUCGGGUUGUCAUGCCAAUGGCACUGCCCGGUAGCUAAAUGCGGAAGAGAUAAGUGCUGAAAGCAUCUAAGCACGAAACUUGCCCCGAGAUGAGUUCUCCCUGAGACUUAGAGUCUCCUGAAGGAACGUUGAAGACGACGACGUUGAUAGGCCGGGUGUGUAAGCGCAGCGAUGCGUUGAGCUAACCGGUACUAAUGAACCGUGAGGCUUAACCUU